rnacentral:lncRNA from 1 species
GGCGUCAUAGUUUGGCUACCAACUGUACUUUGAAAAAAUUGCAGGUGUGGAGGUGGAUCAAUAUAUUCUCCAUUAAUUGUUAUGUAGGAUUAAAAAAGAGAGAAAUUAAAAACAACACAGAAAAAAGUGUAACCUACUGAAUUUGUAUUUAUAAGAGAGAGAUGAAGAGUUCAGAGACAUGUAUUGUUGAUGAAAUGCCCUCCAAUGGUUU